rnacentral:rRNA from 1 species
UACGUAGGCAGCAAGCGUUGUUCGGAGUUACUGGGCGUAAAGAGUGCGUAGGCGGUGCCCUAAGUCUGUUGUGAAAUCUCCUGGCUCAACUGGGAGGGUGCGGUGGAAACUGGGGUGCUUGAGAGUGGGAGAGGUUAGCGGAAUUCCUGGUGUAGCGGUGAAAUGCGUAGAUAUCAGGAGGAACACCGGUGGUGUAGACGGCUGACUGGACCACGACUGACGCUGAGGCACGAAAGCGUGGGUAGCAAAC